GGAUGUGGCUCAAGUGGUUGUGCGCUUGCCUGGCAUGCAUGAGGCACUGGGUUCAAUCCUCAGCACCA
rnacentral:tRNA from 1 species